UUAAGUUUUUAAUUAAAUUUAAGUGUGAUGUGUGAAGAACACAUUAACAAUUUUAGUACUUAGCGUACCUUAUUCAGUGUUUAGUUUAGUUUGUAAACAACAUACUUGCUGGUAAAUAAAUAAACUGUGACAACCUCAAGCUGUUAACCAGGCCACCAUGUCAGUCGGCACUUUUUUGGUAUACCUAGCCGCCGGGCGUAAGUUUUUGCCAACACUAGACGAACCUUAAACAGUUCAUGUUGUUGGCUAAAAGAAAAAUGCAGCUUAAGCCUGAAAACCAUUCAGGCUCAAACACUAUAUUGGUGAUGCCAUUGCAAGCAGAUCAUGUUUCAACGGCCAUAGUACAAAUGCAUAUCGUACACCAAAAAGGUUUCGCUUAGCUUAUGCUAGUGUGGGAGUUGGACGUAACAGCCGGCUUCUUAUGGUCACAUGAACCCGCUCUGGUAAUGAAUAGAUUUGAAGGAGUUGCAAUUAAUUGGUAACGUAGUUAUAGUUUGUUUUCCUUUUAUUGAUUUUCUGUCCAAUUAUAAAUUUUAGUCAAUAAAAAGG